AUGGCAUGCUUGGCACGCAAGCUGAGUUGACCUAGUGGAUAUUUGAUCCGACUUAGUCUCAGUGACAGAAAGCCAAAUUUUUGAAAACAGGAGACUUAGUCAAUCCAAAUCAGGCUAGUCGACCAAGACAAGAUCUUAUCGACUCAGUCAGAAAAUUAGUCAACUCAGUCUCAAAAGAUAGUAGAAGAUAGAGAGACUGAUAUUGAAAGCAUUGUUCAGUUAGCCGAUCAAG
rnacentral:lncRNA from 1 species